rnacentral:lncRNA from 1 species
CGCAAGUUUUUUCACGAUAACAAAUUUUUCAACAAGAAACACAAGAUCACGAGUGGAAUAACAAGAUACAAUCAACAAGAUAAAAAUAUCAAAAAAAACCCCGAGAAAUAUACAAAUAUGCACUAAAUUAAGUAUUAUAUAAUAUUAUACAAAGUCUAAGUUAUCUAAAUAAAAAAUAUACAAUCAGCCUCUCGAUCGUCCUCUCCCUCGAUGUCCUCGGCCACGUCCUCGUGCACGGCCACGUCCACGUCUACGGCCACCCUC